GUGGGGAAUAUUGGACAAUGGGCGAAAGCCUGAUCCAGCCAUGCCGCGUGUGUGAAGAAGGUCUUCGGAUUGUAAAGCACUUUAAGUUGGGAGGAAGGGUAGUAACCUAAUACGUUGCUACUUUGACGUUACCGACAGAAUAAGCACCGGCUAACUUCGUGCCAGCAGCCGCGGUAAUACGAAGGGUGCAAGCGUUAAUCGGAAUUACUGGGCGUAAAGCGCGCGUAGGUGGUUCAGUAAGUUGGAAGUGAAAUCCCCGGGCUCAACCUGGGAACUGCUUUCAAAACUGCUGAGCUAGAGUACGGUAGAGGGUGGUGGAAUUUCCUGUGUAGCGGUGAAAUGCGUAGAUAUAGGAAGGAACACCAGUGGCGAAGGCGACCACCUGGACUGAUACUGACACUGUGGUGCGAAAGCGUGGGGAGCAAACAGGAUUAGAUACCCCUGUAGUCC
rnacentral:rRNA from 1 species